AUUGAACGCUGGCGGCAGGCCUAACACAUGCAAGUCGAACGAGCGGCGGACGGGUGAGUAAUGUCUGGGAAACUGCCCGAUGGAGGGGGAUAACUACUGGAAACGGUAGCUAAUACCGCAUACCAUCAGAUGCGCCCAGAUGGGAUUAGCUAGUUGGUGGGGUAACGGCUCACCUAGGCGACGAUCUCUAGCUGGUCUGAGAGGAUGACAGUCCACACUGGAACUGAGACACGGUCCAGACUCCUACGGGAGGCAGCAGUGGGGAAUAUUGCACAAUGGGCGCAAGCCUGAUGCAGCCAUGCCGCGUGUAUGAAGAAGGCCUUAGGGUUGUAAAGUACUUUCAGCGAGGAGGCGUUACCCGCAGAAGAAGCACCGGCUAACUCCGUGCCAGCAGCCGCGGUAAUUC
rnacentral:rRNA from 1 species